AGAGUUUGAUCCUGGCUCAGAACGAACGCUGGCGGCAGGCUUAACACAUGCAAGUCGAGCGCCCCGCAAGGGGAGCGGCAGACGGGUGAGUAACGCGUGGGAACGUACCCUUUACUACGGAAUAACGCAGGGAAACUUGUGCUAAUACCGUAUGUGCCCUUCGGGGGAAAGAUUUAUCGGUAAGGGAUCGGCCCGCGUUGGAUUAGCUAGUUGGUGGGGUAAAGGCCUACCAAGGCGACGAUCCAUAGCUGGUCUGAGAGGAUGAUCAGCCACAUUGGGACUGAGACACGGCCCAAACUCCUACGGGAGGCAGCAGUGGGGAAUAUUGGACAAUGGGCGCAAGCCUGAUCCAGCCAUGCCGCGUGAGUGAUGAAGGCCCUAGGGUUGUAAAGCUCUUUCACCGGAGAAGAUAAUGACGGUAUCCGGAGAAGAAGCCCCG
rnacentral:rRNA from 1 species